rnacentral:rRNA from 1 species
CCUACGGGGGGCAGCAGUGGGGAAUAUUGGACAAUGGGCGAAAGCCUGAUCCAGCCAUGCCGCGUGUGUGAAGAAGGCCUUCGGGUUGUAAAGCACUUUCAGUGGGGAAGAAAGCCUUGGGGCUAAUACCCUCGAGGAAGGACAUCACCCACAGAAGAAGCACCGGCUAACUCCGUGCCAGCAGCCGCGGUAAUACGGAGGGUGCGAGCGUUAAUCGGAAUUACUGGGCGUAAAGCGCGCGUAGGCGGUCUGAUAAGCCGGUUGUGAAAGCCCCGGGCUCAACCUGGGAACGGCAUCCGGAACUGUCAGGCUAGAGUGCAGGAGAGGAAGGUAGAAUUCCCGGUGUAGCGGUGAAAUGCGUAGAGAGCGGGAGGAAUACCAGUGGCGAAGGCGGCCUUCUGGACUGACACUGACGCUGAGGUGCGAAAGCGUGGGUAGCAAACAGGAUUAGAUACCCUAGUAGUC